AUGCUCCUUUAAAUCCUAUAGUCAUCACAUUCUGACAUUUCAUAACACAACCAUCCUUUUCUAAUUCUUCCUCAAUUUGUAUCUAAACAUUGAAUAGCUUUAUUUGAACUUAACGAACUAUCAACAUUCAUAUUCAUUCAUAAAAUCCUACGUACACAUUUCUCUCACACUGUGUCUGACCACUCUCAUAAUCUCACAUCUGGCAACCCUUUUUACUACAGAUGUUCGAGGCGAAUUCAAUACAUGUGAGAACUUGACACAAAUUGCAUUAAUUAAUUAAAACAAAGAAGCAGACAACAUGUAAACUGAGGAAUACUGGUAAAACUGUAUCGUUUCAUUAUCACAAGAUUUCUAAUACUAAUUUGUUUCUUUUCUUCUUUCUUUCAGCUAUUUGAGUUUGGGAAAGGUUGUGGCUUAACUCCACCACAUGACUCUAGGCCCUUCCCAGGUUGGUGUUUCCACUGCGAGCUGACCACUCGCAUACUCUUCUGGUGGAACCCUAAUCAAAUAGGCCAAUGAGCCAAAUUACAUCUCUGUAGUUAGAAACUAAUAAACUAACUUAAACAAAA